AUGCAAAAAGAGUUGUACAUUUAGCUUGAGUCAUGUUUAAAGCUUAUAAGUGUUGUAACUUAUGUUGUUUUCUUUGUACUUUCUUUGGGUACUUAUACAACGUCGCUUUCAAGAGACAGAAAGACAUCCGAAAAUCCACCGCCGCUCAACCUCUGCUCCACGGCUUCUCCUCCGGCCGGCGUCAUCCUCAUCGCCAGUAUACUAUAAGAUUUAGCUUUUGAUCUUCAAGAAUGGGUUUUAACAGGGUAUUUGUUGGAUUACGUUGUAUAUAUGUUCAGAAUCUGCUUCGUGAGCGUUGGGAGCUAGCGUCUAUUCUCAAUUUUUUGCAGUGAAAUCCCGUUGAGAAGACUAAAUACAAACAUCAAUGCUGGUGAAUUAUAGCUAAAGAGUUCUAUACGACAAAUGACAAAAUCUUUGUGGGUCGAACCAAGUCAACAACAGUAGAGAUCAUGGGGUAUAACUACGCAUUGGUCGGCCAGGCUCCAUAUGGCGAAAAGUGCACAAGAUGCUCAAGCUCGAAGUCUUCUCUCAAUGAAGAGUACAGAUACUCGAACAUGUUCAAGACGUCUUAAAAGGAAAGUUGAAAGAGCACAAGAAGGGUUCCACCGCCUUUCAACUAACCACAUCUGUCGUUCCGCCCUCCGACCGGCUCGUCACACUACCAGCCGCCACCUCACUUUGGACACUGUCUCGAGACGUCACCUCCUUCGCUAUCGACUGGCAACCUCCGACGGCCACUGCUGCACUAGCUAGUUUCGUUGGAAAACCGGGUUUCCGGUUUUUGGUUAUUCCGAUCACACCUAUUACCCUGUUAGUUAUCUGCUUUGCUUUCUUACUUUGUUAAAAUUUGCUUACUAACAAAUUUUUUUUCCAGUUUUCCGUUUAAUGUUUUUAAUAUACGUUACGAUAAGUUUCGAUAUUCACGUCAAGUACGUGGGU
rnacentral:lncRNA from 1 species